rnacentral:pre_miRNA from 1 species
AUAUGAAUCAUCCAGAGAUCUUGCUAGAAUGUAGAUUCUGGCUCAGUAGGCCUCAGAAGGGACUUGAGAGUCUGCAUUUCUAACAAGCUCUGUGGUGAUGCCAAU